ensembl:lncRNA
GAAACCACCGUGAUGGUGAGUCACUUCAGCCAUACAGAAGAUUUUGGGUAUAAAAAGGAAGAAAAGAGUGCCAGAAGGAAGCAAGGACUAAGAAACUUAAACUCAAUCAACUAGAGGCCAUAGAGAACCCCAAGCCCAUUCUUCCCAUCAAGGACAAAGGAGGCCCCACAGGAAGGGGAAAAUCAAGGAGCAGAGUUCAGGGACCCAGACAGGCCUGCUUCCAUUGUGGCGCCAUGGAUCAUUGGGCUAGAUAUUGUUGCCAAACAAAGGUCAAUGACAAUUUGGUGAGUGGCGGGCAGUUCGCACUUAUCCGUGAAGUGACAUCAUCAAGAGGCAGAGGUGUACGGGGGCAUUCAGACCGACGACGGGACGCAGGAGCAGGCCAGGUCCAACGAGAGGUAUGGAAGGGGAGAUUUGGAGGUACCUGGUCAGGCCUUGGUCUGCCUACAAAUCCCAGAUGUGGAGACUGCAGGGAUACCUCACAGAGAGGACACUAAAGAGCCAUCUCUCAUUCAUUGAGUGGACUCAUUGGUUUGCGAAUGACCACAAAGAUGCUCCUAUGGGCAGAUUGCUGCAUGGCAUUUGCCACUUAUUCAAACUGUAGAGGUUGAAGCAGUCUUCAUUGUGGUCACUUGCCAUAACACUGUCAUGUGUUUUAUCAAAACACCAUCAGUAACAUUUAAAUUGAGUUGAUGUGGACGGCUCUCGUUUUUGUCC